UUUUAUUCUCAGGGCGGGGCGAAAUUCCCCACCGGCGGUAUACCGAAUGAGGUGAGCCCGCGAGCGCUCGAUUCGUCGAGGUCAGCAGAUCUGGUGAGAGGCCAGAGCCGACGGUUAUAGUCCGGAUGAGAGAGAAUGAAA
rnacentral:ncRNA from 17 species